rnacentral:rRNA from 1 species
CGCGCAGGCGGCUUUGUAAGUCCGACGUGAAAGCUCCCGGCUUAACUGGGAGAGGCCGUUGGAUACUGCGGAGCUUGAGGUUAGGAGAGGAAAGCGGAAUUCCCGGUGUAGUGGUGGAAUGCGUAGAUAUCGGGAGGAACUCCAGAGGCGAAGGCGGCUUUCUGGCCUACACCUGACGCUGAGGCGCGAAAGCGUGGGGAGCGAACA